AGAGUUUGAUCAUGGCUCAGUAUGAACGCUGGCGGCGUGCCUAACACAUGCAAGUCGAGCGAUUCUCUUCGGAGAAGAGCGGCGGACGGGUGAGUAACGCGUGGGUAACCUGCCCUGUACACACGGAUAACAUACCGAAAGGUAUGCUAAUACGAGAUAAUAUGCUUUUAUCGCAUGGUAGAAGUAUCAAAGCUCCGGCGGUACAGGAUGGACCCGCGUCUGAUUAGCUAGUUGGUAAGGUAACGGCUUACCAAGGCGACGAUCAGUAGCCGACCUGAGAGGGUGAUCGGCCACAUUGGAACUGAGACACGGUCCAAACUCCUAUGGGAGGCAGCAGUGGGGAAUAUUGCACAAUGGGCGAAAGCCUGAUGCAGCAACGCCGCGUGAGCGAUGAAGGCCUUCGGGUCGUAAAGCUCUGUCCUCAAGGAAGAUAAUGACGGUACUUGAGGAGGAAGCCCCGGCUAACUACGUGCCAGCAGCCGCGGUAAUACGUAGGGGGCUAGCGUUAUCCGGAAUUACUGGGCGUAAAGGGUGCGUAGGUGGUUUCUUAAGUCAGAGGUGAAAGGCUACGGCUCAACCGUAGUAAGCCUUUGAAACUGGGAAACUUGAGUGCAGGAGAGGAGAGUGGAAUUCCUAGUGUAGCGGUGAAAUGCGUAGAUAUUAGGAGGAACACCAGUUGCGAAGGCGGCUCUCUGGACUGUAACUGACACUGAGGCACGAAAGCGUGGGGAGCAAACAGGAUUAGAUACCCUGGUAGUCCACGCCGUAAACGAUGAGUACUAGCUGCCGGAGGUUACCCCCUUCGGUGGCGCAGCUAACGCAUUAAGUACUCCGCCUGGGAAGUACGCUCGCAAGAGUGAAACUCAAAGGAAUUGACGG
rnacentral:rRNA from 1 species